rnacentral:rRNA from 1 species
CAAGGAGUCUAACAUGUGCGCGAGUCAUUGGGUUGACACUAAACCUAAAGGCGCAAUGAAAGUGAAGGUCCCGCCUCGUGCGGACCGAGGGAAGAUGGGCCGCGCUGCUGUGCGGCUCCGCAUUCCCGGGGCGUCUCGUUCUCAUUGCGAGUUGAGGCGCACCCAGAGCGUACACGUUGGGACCCGAAAGAUGGUGAACUAUGCCUGGCCAGGACGAAGUCAGGGGAAACCCUGAUGGAGGUCCGUAGCGAUUCUGACGUGCAAAUCGAUCGUCGGAGCUGGGUAUAGGGGCGAAAGACUAAUCGAACCAUCUAGUAGCUGGUUCCCUCCGAAGUUUCCCUCAGGAUAGCUGGUGCUCGAACGAGUCUCAUCCGGUCAAGCGAAUGAUUAGAGGCCUUGGGGCCGAAACGACCUCAACCUAUUCUCAAACUUUAAAUGGGUGAGAUCUCCGGCUUGCUUAAAACAUUUUUGAAGCCGCGAGAUUAAUUUCUUGGAUCGGAG